rnacentral:rRNA from 1 species
AUUGAACGCUGGCGGCAGGCUUAACACAUGCAAGUCGAGCGGAGAUGAGGUGCUUGCACCUUAUCUUAGCGGCGGACGGGUGAGUAAUGCUUAGGAAUCUGCCUAUUAGUGGGGGACAACAUUCCGAAAGGAAUGCUAAUACCGCAUACGUCCUACGAGAGAAAGCAGGGGAUCUUCGGACCUUGCGCUAAUAGAUGAGCCUAAGUCGGAUUAGCUAGUUGGUGGGGUAAAGGCCUACCAAGGCGACGAUCUGUAGCGGGUCUGAGAGGAUGAUCCGCCACACUGGGACUGAGACACGGCCCAGACUCCUACGGGAGGCAGCAGUGGGGAAUAUUGGACAAUGGGGGAAACCCUGAUCCAGCCAUGCCGCGUGUGUGAAGAAGGCCUUAUGGUUGUAAAGCACUUUAAGCGAGGAGGAGGCUACUGAGACUAAUACUCUUGGAUAGUGGACGUUACUCGCAGAAUAAGCACCGGCUAACUCUGUGCCAGCCGCCGCAGUAAAAC